UACGGAGGGAGCUAGCGUUGUUCGGAAUUACUGGGCGUAAAGCGCACGUAGGCGGCUUUGCAAGUCGGGUGUGAAAUCCCCAGGCUUAACCUGGGAACUGCAUUCGAGACUGCAUUGCUAGAGUAUGGGAGAGGGAAGUGGAAUUUCCGGUGUAGCGGUGAAAUGCGUAGAUAUCGGAAGGAACAUCAGUGGCGAAAGCGACUUCCUGGACCAAUACUGACGCUCAUGUGCGAAAGCGUGGGGAGCAAACAGGG
rnacentral:rRNA from 1 species